rnacentral:rRNA from 1 species
CACGUAGGGUGCGAGCGUUGUCCGGAAUUAUUGGGCGUAAAGAGCUCGUAGGCGGUGUGUCGCGUCGGCCGUGAAAACCUGGGGCUUAACUCUGGGCUUGCGGUCGAUACGGGCAUCACUGGAGUUCGGCAGGGGAGACUGGAAUUCCUGGUGUAGCGGUGAAAUGCGCAGAUAUCAGGAGGAACACCGGUGGCGAAGGCGGGUCUCUGGGCCGAUACUGACGCUGAGGAGCGAAAGCGUGGGGAGCGAACAGG